AAAAUCUUUGUAAUCUUGGUGAAUGUCAUUAGUUUUGAUUCAUUUUCACUGUAAGGCCAAAGAAACAACAAUUUUUCGGCUGAAAGCUUGAUCAUCUGCCUUUGAGUUCACUGCCAGAAGACUUGCCUAUCCGUACAUUUUUUUUUUUUAUUU